UAGUCAUAUGCUUGUCUCAAAGAUUAAGCCAUGCAUGUCUAAGUAUACGCAAAUUAUACUGUGAAACUGCGAAUGGCUCAUUAAAUCAGUUAUAGUUUAUUUGAUGUUUCUUGCUACAUGGAUAACUGUGGUAAUUCUAGAGCUAAUACAUGCGUAAAAAGCCCCGACUUCUGGAAGGGGUGUAUUUAUUAGAUAAAAACCAUCCUCCUCGGAGUUUGGUGAUUCAUAAUAACUUCUCGAAUCGCACGGCCUUGUGCUGGCGAUGCUUCAUUCAAAUAUCUGCCCUAUCAACUGUCGAUGGUAGGAUAGAGGCCUACCAUGGUUGCAACGGGUAACGGGGAAUAAGGGUUCGAUUCCGGAGAGGGAGCCUGAGAAACGGCUACCACAUCCAAGGAAGGCAGCAGGCGCGCAAAUUACCCAAUCCCGACACGGGGAGGUAGUGACAAUAAAUAACUAAUGCUAGGGCCCUUUUGGGUCUUGUAAUUGGAAUGAGUACGAUUUAAAUCCCUUAACGAGGAACGAUU
rnacentral:rRNA from 1 species